UUAUUCAAAUAUAUUGAAAUUAAUAUGGAAACAAAAGUUCAUAAAUAUUAUUCUUAAUAACAAGAAUUGAGGUUUGGGGAUAAGUUUGAAAAGCCAUGUCAGAAGAGUAGGAUUAAAGACAAAGUAUUAAGAGUAAUUGGGCUGUUCCUGAACAAUAUUGAAUAUAAAUAUUCAAAAAUAUGAUAAACUGCAUAUCCUACUAAGUAGAUCAAUACCAAAAUUCCAUUAGAGAAAUAAGUUAAAAUUAUGUUUUACUUGUAUAAUUUUCUUGCUAUUUGUCCACCAUUAUUUGUGACUUAGAAAUUAAAUAGUCAAAAAGAAUUUAGUACCAGUUUUUAUUUCCCAAAAAAAAUAAUUGUUAAAUAAUUACAUAUUGCUUAAGAUACAGUAUAUUAUAUUGUGUUUAUAGUUGAUAAUUCUAGUUCUUAGUUGUUUAUAGUUGAUAAUUAACAAUAUUUCUGAUGUUAGAUAUUAUAUUAGAUAAAAAAUUUAAUUACCAACAGCUACCUACCUAUGUAGCUGCAGAUUAUUAUAUUGUGUAGUAGGUACUGUAUAAUUCUUUAGUUCAAGAAACAAAUAUCAGUACAAGUAUAUAACCAAAAAAAUGUUGAUGCAAAUUCUUUGUAUAACAUACGUACCCCUAUGGUAUUCAACUUUUCAUUGUUCUUUUAAUUAGAUACACAAUAAGCACAUUAAUUUGUUUAUUAAACAACCAAAACUAACUACUUAAAUUCACAAUAUAAAUAUCACAAUAAAUGUAUAAGCUUUGAUCAAUUCCUAUUAUUAAUACCUGACGACUUCAUACUUUAGAACUACCAAUGGCUAUCCUACUAACACACUAGCCAACUAAUAAUAAAUCUGUUCUAAAAAA
rnacentral:lncRNA from 1 species